rnacentral:tRNA from 1 species
GCUGUGGCUUGGUGGUAGAACAUCUGCUUUGCAUGCAGAAGGUCCUGGGUUCGAUUUCCUGUGGAAAUU